GAUGAACGCUGGCGGCGUGCCUAAUACAUGCAAGUCGAGCGAACAGAUGAGGAGCUUGCUCCUCUGACGUUAGCGGCGGACGGGUGAGUAACACGUGGAUAACCUACCUAUAAGACUGGGAUAACUUCGGGAAACCGGAGCUAAUACCGGAUAAUAUAUUGAACCGCAUGGGUCAAUAGUGAAAGACGGUUUUGCUGUCACUUAUAGAUGGAUCCGCGCCGCAUUAGCUAGUUGGUAAGGUAACGGCUUACUAAGGCAACGAUGCGUAGCCGACCUGAGAGGGUGGUCGGCCACCUUGGAACUGGGCCACGGUCCAGACUCCUACGGGAGGCAGCAGUAGGGAAUCUUCCGCAAUGGGCGAAAGCCUGACGGAGCAACCCCGCGUGAGUGAUGACGGUCUUCGGAUCGUAAUGCUCUGUUAUUAGGGAAGAACAAAUGUGUAAGUAACUAUGCCCGUCUUGACGGUACCUAAUCAGAAAGCCCCGGCUAACUACGUG
rnacentral:rRNA from 1 species